AUGCCAGCAAAUUUGGAAAACUCAGCAGUGGCCACAGGAUUAGAAAAGGUCAGUUUUCAUUCCAAUUCCAAAGAAAGGCAAUGCCAAAGAAUGCUUGAACUACCGCACAAUUGCACUCAUCUCACAUGCUAUCAAAGUAAUGCUCAAAAUCCUCUAAGCCAGGCUUCAGCUGGUUUUAGAAAAGGCAGAGGAACAAGAGAUCAAAUUGCUAACAUCUGCUGGAUCAUGGAAAAAGCAAGAGAGUUCCAGAAAAACAUCUAUUUCUGCUUUAUUGAUUAUGCCAAAGCCUUUGAGUGUGUGGAUCACAAUAAACUGUGGAAAAUUCUGAGAGAGAUGGGAAUACCAGACCACCUUACCUGUCUCUUGAGAAAUCUGUAUGCAGGCCAGGAAGCAACAGUUAGAACUGGACAUGGAACAACAGACUGGUUCCAAAUAGGAAAACGAGUCCGUCAAGGCUGUAUAUUGUCACCCUGCUUAUUUAACUUAUAUGCAGAGUACAUCAUGAGAAAUGCUGGACUGGAAGAAACACAAGCUAGAAUCAAGAUUGCUGGGAGAAAUAUCAAUAACCUCAGAUAUGCAGAUGACAUCACCCUUAUGGCAGAAAGUGAAGAGGAGCUAAAAAGCCUCUUGAUGAAAGUGAAAGAGGAGAGUGAAAAAGUUGGCUUAAAGCUCAACAUUCAGAAAACGAAGAUCAUGGCAUCUGGUCCCAUCACUUCAUGGCAAAUAGAUGGGGAAACAGUAGAAACAGUGUCAGACUUUAUUUUGGGGGGCUGCAAAAUCACUGCAGAUGGUGACUGCAGCCAUGAAAUUAAAAGACGCUUACUCCUUGGAAGGAAAGUUAUGAGCAACCUAGAUAGCAUAUUCAAAAGCAGAGACAUUACUUUGCCGACUAAGGUCUGUCUAGUCAAGGCUAUGGUUUUUCCUGUGGUCAUGUAUGGAUGUGAGAGUUGGACUGUGAAGAAGGCUGAGUGCCAAAGAAUUGAUGCUUUUGAACUGUGGUGUUGGAGAAGACUCUUGAGAGUCCCUUGGGCUGCAAGGAGAUCCAACCAGUCCAUUCUGAAGGAGAUCAGCCCUGGGAUUUCUUUGGAAGGACUGAUGCUGAAGCUGAAACUCCAGUACUUUGGCCCCCUCAUGGGAAGAGUUGACUCAUUGGAAAAGACUCUGAUGCUGGGAGGGUUUGGGGGCAGGAGGAGAAGGGGACGACCGAGGAUGAGAUGGCUGGAUGGCAUCACGGACUCGAUGGACGUGAGUCUGAGUGAACUCCAGGAGAUAGUGAUGGACAGGGGAGGCCUGGCGUGCUGCGAUUCAUGGGGUCACAAAGAGUCAGACACAACUGAGCGACUGAACUGA
rnacentral:lncRNA from 1 species